AUUGAACGCUGGCGGCAGGCCUAACACAUGCAAGUCGAACGGUAACAGGAAGAAGCUUGCUUCUUUGCUGACGAGUGGCGGACGGGUGAGUAAUGUCUGGGAAACUGCCCGAUGGAGGGGGAUAACUACUGGAAACGGUAGCUAAUACCGCAUAACGUCGCAAGACCAAAGAGGGGGACCUUCGGGCCUCUUGCCAUCGGAUGUGCCCAGAUGGGAUUAGCUAGUAGGUGGGGUAACGGCUCACCUAGGCGACGAUCCCUAGCUGGUCUGAGAGGAUGACCAGCCACACUGGAACUGAGACACGGUCCAGACUCCUACGGGAGGCAGCAGUGGGGAAUAUUGCACAAUGGGCGCAAGCCUGAUGCAGCCAUGCCGCGUGUAUGAAGAAGGCCUUCGGGUUGUAAAGUACUUUCAGCGGGGAGGAAGGGAGUAAAGUUAAUACCUUUACUCAUUGACGUUACCCGCAGAAGAAGCACCGGCUAACUCCGUG
rnacentral:rRNA from 1 species